GUAGCCGUCGAAUGACGGUUGCGUAUACUAAAAUUGGAUUAAUACAGAGAAGAUUAGCAUUUCCCUGCGUAAGGCUGAUGUGCUUGUCGUGAAGCGGUCCAAUAUUUU